rnacentral:tRNA from 1 species
GGAAGGGUACCGAAGUGGUUAUAACGGGACCGCCUCGAAAGCGGUUUGUCCUUACGGGCAACGUGGGUUCGAAUCCCACCCCUUCCG